GACGAACGCUGGCGGCGUGCUUAACACAUGCAAGUCGAACGGUGAAGCGCCUUCCUUUUUGGUGGGUGUGGAUGAGUGGCGAACGGGUGAGUAACACGUGAGUAACCUGCCCCCUUCUUCUGGAUAACCGCAUGAAAGUGUGGCUAAUACGGGAUAUUCUGGGUCUGUCGCAUGAUGGGUCUGGGAAAGAUAUUGUUUCGGUGGGGGAUGGGCUCGCGGCCUAUCAGCUUGUUGGUGGGGUGAUGGCCUACCAAGGCGGUGACGGGUAGCCGGCCUGAGAGGGUGGACGGUCACACUGGGACUGAGACACGGCCCAGACUCCUACGGGAGGCAGCAGUGGGGAAUAUUGCACAAUGGGCGCAAGCCUGAUGCAGCGACGCCGCGUGAGGGAUGGAGGCCUUCGGGUUGUGAACCUCUUUCGCCAGUGAAGUAGGCCUGCCUCGUGUGUGGGUGGGUUGACGGUAGCUGGAUAAGAAGCGCCGGCUAACUACGUG
rnacentral:rRNA from 1 species